rnacentral:rRNA from 1 species
GAUGAACGCUGGCGGCGUGCCUAAUACAUGCAAGUCGAGCGAACAGACGCGGAGCUUGCUCCUUUCACGUUAGCCGAGCACGGGUGAAUAACACGUGUAUAACCUCCCUAUCAGUCUGAUAAAACUACGAGACACCGGAGCUAAUCCCGGAUAAUAUCCUGAACCGCAUGGUUCAAUAGUGAAAGACGGUUUUGCUGUCUCUACUCGCUGGAUCCGCGCCGCAUGAGCUAGUUGGUAAGGUAACGGCUUACCAGGGCAACGAUGCGUAGCCGACGUGAGAGAGUGGUCGGCGGCACUGGAAGGGGAACGGCGUCCAUGCUCCUACGGGAGGCAGCAGUAGGGAAUCUGCCGCAGUGGGCGGAAACCUUACGGAGCGACGCCGCGUGAGAGAUGAAGGUCUUCGGAUCGUAAAGCUCGGUUAUUAGGGAAAAACAAAUGUGUAAGGAACUAUGCACGUCUUGACGGUACCGGGUCAGAAAGCCACGGCUAACUACGUG